GUAGGGAGCGAGCGUUAUCCGGAUUCAUUGGGCGUAAAGCGCACGCAGGCGGCCAAGUAAGUCGGGUGUGAAAUCCCGGGGCUCAACCCCGGGCGUGCAUCCGAAACUGCUUGGCUAGAGGUAGGCAGGGGAGAUCGGAAUUCCUGGUGUAGCGGUGAAAUGCGCAGAUAUCAGGAGGAACACCGGUGGCGAAGGCGGAUCUCUGGGCCUUACCUGACGCUCAGGUGCGAAAGCUAGGGGAGCGAACAGGAUUAGAUACCCUGGUAGUCCUAGCCGUAAACGUUGGAUACUAGGUGUGGGGGGACAUCGACCCCUUCUGCGCCGAAGCUAACGCAUUAAGUAUCCCGCCUGGGGAGUACGGCCGCAAGGCUA
rnacentral:rRNA from 1 species